CCCUUAGAUGUUCUGGGCCGCACGCGCGCUACACUGAUUCAUGCAACAAGUUUUGUCCUUGGCUGAUAGGCCUGGGUAAUCUUUGAACGUGAAUCGUGAUGGGGAUAGAUGAUUGCAAUUAUUCAUCUUCAACGAGGAAUUCCUAGUAAACGCAAGUCAUCAGCUUGCAUUGAUUACGUCCCUGCCCUUUGUACACACCGCCCGUCGCACCUACCGAUUGAAUGGUCCGGUGAAAUCUUCGGAUCUGAGAGAUGUCUGAUUAAUUUCGGACGCCUUUUGGAAAAGUUGUUUAAACCUUACCAUUUAGAGGAAGGAGAANUCGUANCA
rnacentral:rRNA from 1 species